rnacentral:piRNA from 1 species
UAUCGAUGUCUCUGACCUCACUGACGGA